rnacentral:rRNA from 1 species
GAUGAACGCUAGCUACAGGCUUAACACAUGCAAGUCGAGGGGCAGCAUAGGGUUUGCUUGCAGACUCUGAUGGCGACCGGCGCACGGGUGAGUAACGCGUAUCCAACCUGCCCAUGGCUAGGGAAUAGCCCGUUGAAAAGCGGAUUAAUGCCCUAUGGCGUCCUUUGCAGACAUCUAACGAGGACUAAAGGUUUACCGGCCAUGGAUGGGGAUGCGUCCGAUUAGGUAGUUGGCGGGGUAACGGCCCACCGAGCCAUCGAUCCUUAGGGGUUCUGAGAGGAAGGUCCCCCACACUGGUACUGAGACACGGACCAGACUCC